ACCCAAUAGAUACCCCGGUAGUCCUGGCCCUAAACGAUGAAUGCUUGGUGUGACGGGUAUCGAUCCCUGUCGUGCCGAAAGCUAAACGCAUUAAGCAUUCCGCCUGGGGAGUACGGUCGCAAGGCUGAAACUCAAAGGAGUUGACGGGGGCCCGCACAAGCGGUGGAGCAUGUGGUUCAAUUCGACGCAACGCGAAGAACCUUACCCAGGCUCGAACGGCAUUGGACAUCCGGCGAAAGCCGGCUCCCGCAAGGGCCGAUGUCGAGGUGCUGCAUGGCUGUCGUCAGCUCGUGUCGUGAGAUGUUGGGUUAAGUCCCGCAACGAGCGCAACCCUUGUCCGCUGUUGCCAUCAGGUUAAGCUGGGCACUCUGCGGAGACUGCCGGUGAUAAACCGGAGGAAGGUGGGGAUGACGUCAAGUCAGCAUGGCCUUUAUGUCUGGGGCUACACACGUGCUACAAUGGCAGGUACAAACCGUCGCGAUGCCGUAAGGUGGAGCUAAUCGGACAAAACCUGUCUCAGUUCGGAUU
rnacentral:rRNA from 1 species